rnacentral:misc_RNA from 1 species
AAUCCCAUAAACCGUGGCUCAGUUCAGAUCGUAGGCUGCAACUCGCCUACGUGAAGGAGGAAUCGCUAGUAAUCGCAGGUCAGCAUACUGCGGUGAAUACGUUCCCGGGCCUUGUACACACCGCCCGUCACACCAUGGAAGUUGGCCACGCCCGAAGCCGUUACUCCAACCCUUGUGGAGGAGGACGUCGAAGGUGGGGCUGAUGACUGGGGUGAAGUCGUAACAAGGUAUCCGUACCGGAAGGUGCGGAUGGAUCACCUCCUAACAGGGAGACAAACAACGAUUUUGAUGCCUGAGUACUUUUAUUCUUAGGCCGAAAUCCUGUCACCUUAGGUCGAUCGGUACCUCAGCGUUGAAGCAACAGAGUUAACAGAGAUGUUGAUGCGUGUUGUGGAGAUGAUCAGUUCCUAAACUUUGUCUAGGUCACACCCCACAAGGGUUGAGUUUUCCUGGGCCAUUAGCUCAGGUGGUUAGAGCGCACCCCUGAUAAGGGUGAGGUCCCUGGUUCAAGUCCAGGAUGGCCCAUUCGGUGUUGGGGGUUUAGCUCAGUUGGUAGAGCGCCUGCUUUGCAAGCAGGAUGUCAGGAGUUCGAGUCUCCUAACCUCCACUGACCGAACUCAAUCUCCGGUUUUGCAUUGAGAGAUGGAGAACCACUCGAUUGUGAAGUGUGAUUUAGAUGUGUCCGCUGGAUGACCCCAGCUUCCUGUCAUUCCAAAUGAACAAGUCGAUUUUAAUUGUCUUGUGAAUUGG